GGGCACGCAAUAAGGUGUCUUUCCAUCCCACGUUCCGUCGCGGCAGUGCAGUAAAGAAUCGCCGAUGAACUUAUAUUUACCUAUUUCUCGACAUCUCACCAUGAGCCGUUCAUUAUUAGGCACACCUAUCAUGUCUACCUAUGAGAAAAUCUUCGCAAUAGACUUGUUUUGUUGGCACAUAUAAAUAACAAAAAUGGCUGUACCGGUCGAAAGCAGAUCUUAUAAUACAUAAAAACAAAAUACUUACAGAUAUAGUGAAAUGUUUAUAGGUGACGAUAAGAAGAGGAUGAAGGCCCUUCAAUACGCAAAUGCCUUCCAGUCCUAAAUUCUCGGUAUCUGUAAAUACACAUAGCAAAUGUUUAGAAUAUUCGAAACUGUACCUUUUACUUCGCGCACGCUCGCUUACACCCUCGCAACAGCGUCCGAAGAUUGAUCACUUGUUUUAUAGCAGCUUGCACGAUGAACGCCGAAAUAGAAAUCGAUCCGACUCGAUCGCGUGGCAUACACAAUAGAAUCGGUUGCGCUAUAUAUCGCAUUCACGAGCCAUGACGUGAGGGGUUGCACGUGCUUCCCCUUGAACGUUGCUCAAGGGUAACUUGAGUCUUAAUGAACAGAAAGUUGCGACUCUUACAUAAAAAUAAUUAAAAUAGAAAUUAAUAGCAUCUGAAAAUUUUGAGUUUAUAAAAAGGUAAACAGUACGUGAUUUUUGAAAUUAAAAACCGAUUUGUAAAAUCUUUUGUAUUUUCUUUCGCACACCUUUUUUUUUACACGCAACAUAUUGUGAAAAAUUCUAAGAAAAGAUGACUUAAUAUUUCUGAAAAGGGUUUUAAAUAUUUUAAUUUCUAUAAAGUUCUAAGACAAGUUUUUAUCAGGAUUGUUAUGAUUUAUUUAAAAAUAUUCUUUAUCAAUCCUGCCUGUUUUUUAAAAGUAAAUUUUGGUUGCAGGACCCAGACAGUGACACAUAUAUCCUACGAUAUGCACGCACCUAUGCACUUGAUAUUCAACGUGAGGAGAAGCAAUGUUAUCGCUAUCGCGGCGACACGUGCACGCGUCCUUCCUGAACGGUCGUCGCACGGCAUGUUGCUGGUGUCCUGGCAGUUCGCGGUCACGCAGGACCAUGAUUAACGACGACGAGAGACGCUAACGCAGCGUGGUAGCGAAGCGGAUGCGUGAUCGCGCGUCGCCGAUCGGUUCCAGCUGCCGUCUCGCGAUUCCGCUCAUUAUCUU